rnacentral:rRNA from 1 species
AUUGAACGCUGGCGGCAGGCCUAACACAUGCAAGUCGGACGGUAGCACAGAGAGCUUGCUCUUGGGUGACGAGUGGCGGACGGGUGAGUAAUGUCUGGGGAUCUGCCCGAUAGAGGGGGAUAACCACUGGAAACGGUGGCUAAUACCGCAUAACGUCGCAAGACCAAAGAGGGGGACCUUCGGGCCUCUCACUAUCGGAUGAACCCAGAUGGGAUUAGCUAGUAGGCGGGGUAAUGGCCCACCUAGGCGACGAUCCCUAGCUGGUCUGAGAGGAUGACCAGCCACACUGGAACUAGGACACGGUCCAGAAUCCUACGGGAGGCAGCAGUGGGGAAUAUUGGACAAUUGGCGAAAGCCUGAGGCAGCCAUGCCGCGUGUAUGAAGAAGGCCUUCGGGUUGUAAAGUACUUUCAGCGGGGAGGAAGGCGGUGAGGUUAAUAACCUCGCCGAUUGACGUUACCCGCAGAAGAAGCACCGGCUAACUCCGUGCCAGCCGCCGCCGUAA